AGCACCCCCACGAAGUAAAAAAGGCUGCUGCUAAGAUUUUUGCUUUUAGCAACCAAAACUGAAACAGACCGUACAGAAAGAAAUGUUGAGCAACAACAACAGCACAUCACCGCUUUGUUCUUUCGGGUCACCUUGGCCUGAUCUUAACGAUGGCUUGUUCUACAACGACGUCGUCUCCGCCUCCUCCGAUUCUGGAUUGACUCUGAUACACUUCUACUCUUCCAAGUACAAAAAUUCUGCUCCCUUACAAGGUUGGUUGCAGAGGAUACACAAUGGACAGAUAACAAUCGAUGGUGAAGUUGUUAAAGAGCCCAAAGCAAUCCUUAGGGAUGGUAUGGAAUUGGUCUAUCAUAGGCUUCCAUGGAGAGAGCCCGAUGCUCCUUACUUGCUUCAAGUUUUAUAUGAAGAUGAUGAUAUGAUUGCUUUGAACAAGCCACCUGGUCUUCAAGUUUUACCUGGAGGGCUUUUCCAGCAACGCACUGUUUUAAUGCAACUCCAGUGGAGGGCAAGCAAGGGCAGCUCUUCCCUAGCAAUCCAAGGAUCACAUCCUGUUCCGGUUCAUCGCCUGGGAAGGGGUACAUCAGGAAUACUACUUUGCGCAAAGACAAAGGUAGCCAAAACUAGCCUUGCUGCAUAUUUCGCUGAUGGGACAUCCCUUAUUGGAGACAGCAGUAAUGCCAACAUGGAGCAGAGCAAAAGGAGGAAGAUUUCAAAGAUAUACCGAGCACUAGUGAAUGGGAUACUGAAUCAGGAUAAGAUUAUCAUCAAACAGCCAAUUGGAACAAUGCGUUACCCUGGAGUGGCCAAAGGGCUGUAUGUUGCUUCACCCUCAGGUAAACCAGCUUUGAGCAAAGUUGAAGUCCUUGAAAGAGAUUCACAACUAAACCAAACAUUAGUCCAGGUCGAGAUUGAAUCAGGACGGCCACACCAAAUUCGCAUUCAUCUUUCUUUCAUAGGGCAUCCUUUGCUGGGUGAUCCUCUUUAUGAUGUUGGAGGGCAACCAAUGUGCUUUGAUUCUGAACAUGAGGAUGAGAGUUUUGCUGAAGACGGAGGAUAUGAGAGGCCAGCAAAACCUGUUCCAGGAGAUUGUGGCUACUACUUGCAUGCACAUCAAUUGGUUCUCUCGCACCCAACCAAAAAUGAGGUUGGGAUUCAAUGAACUGUAAAACCCUUUCCAGAGGAUGUAAUCUUGGUAUAGGCCGUUUGAUGAUAAACAAGAAAAAUGUUGAUAUUUUUUAUUCUGCAGGUAAUAAAAAUUACAGCACCUCUCCCAUCCUUCUUACGUACACAAGCAGAAACCGAAGAACUGAUGUGAAAUAGUUCUGUUGAGAGCAUUGCAAUCAACUGGCUGGCAAAACAUGAAGGUGGUAUAGGUGACUAAUUGACUGGCUAACUCUUUCCUGCUGUGGUUCGAGCAAAGGUUGAAACGCACAAUAGAGAAUCUAUUUUGAAUCACUAACCUGCCAUCUUCGUUGUUGAACGUUUCUUUGCUUUUCUUUUUCUUUGCACUAGUUGAACGUUUUCCACAAAUAUUGGACCUAUCAAGUCAUAAAACCCAAUAGUUGCGCCGCCGUCCACAUUCAGGGAGCAGGAAUGUUGACAUGAGCAAUUUCCAUUGCAUGAAACUUUCUUUCCAGUUGCAGGCAUAUUGCUAGAACUUUCUUCACGGAUUCCAAUUGGACGAAGACUUGAUGCAUAUUUUCUGAACCUA